AUUGGAGUCUGCAACCCGACUCCAUGAAGCUGGAUUCGCUAGUAAUCGCGCAUCAGCCACGGCGCGGUGAAUACGUUCCCGGGCCUUGUACACACCGCCCGUCAAGCCAUGGAAGCCGGGAGUGCCUGAAGUGCGUGACCGCAAGGAGCGCCCUAAGGCAAUACCGGUGACUGGGGCUAAGUCGUAACAAGGUAAC
rnacentral:rRNA from 1 species